UAAAGACUGAUAUGUGCCUUUUGAAGAUGACGUGGAUGUGGGUGCUGCGAGUCUGUGGUCCUCCCGCUCCCGCUCCUGACUCACCGCUGUUCGCUCUCGCUGAGGAACGAGUCGGUCAGGAAGCCGUGCUGCAGCCAUGGCUUUUAAAGACACCGGCAAGACGCCCGUGGAGGUGGCAGUCCACUGGAUUAGGAUCACCCUCACCAGCCACAAUGGGAAAUCUCUGGAGAAAGUAUGCACUGACCUGAUCAGAGGCACGAAGGAAAAGAAUCUCAAGGUGAAGGGACCUGUUCGCAUGCCAACCAAGACUUUGAGAAUCACUACCAGGAAAACUCGUUGUGGUGAAGGUUCCAGGACAUGGGAUUGCUUCCAGAUGAGAAUCCACAAGCUACUCAUCGACUUGCACAGUCCUUCUGAGAUUGUCAAGCAGAUUACUUACACCAGUAUUGAGUCGGGAGUUGAGGUUGAAGUCACCAUUGCUGAUGCUUAAGUCAAGUAUUUUAAUAAAUUGAUUACACUUGUUAAAAAAAA